rnacentral:rRNA from 1 species
CACAUGCAAGUCGAGGGGCAGCGGGAUUGAAGCUUGCUUCAAUUGCCGGCGACCGGCGCACGGGUGAGUAACACGUAUCCAACCUUCCGUUUACUCGGGGAUAGCCUUUCGAAAGAAAGAUUAAUACCCGAUAGUAUGGUGGGAUUGCAUGAUAACACCAUUAAAGAUUUAUUGGUAAACGAUGGGGAUGCGUUCCAUUAGGUAGUAGGCGGGGUAACGGCCCACCUAGCCUGCGAUGGAUAGGGGUUCUGAGAGGAAGGUCCCCCACAUUGGAACUGAGACACGGUCCAAACUCCUACGGGAGGCAGCAGUGAGGAAUAUUGGUCAAUGGGCGAGAGCCUGAACCAGCCAAGUAGCGUGAAGGAUGAAGGCCCUACGGAUUGUAAACUUCUUUUAUAAGGGAAUAAAACGCUCCACGUGUGGAGCCUUGUAUGUACCUUAUGAAUAAGCAUCGGCUAACUCCGUGCCAGCAGCCGCGGUAAUACGGAGGAUGCGAGCGUUAUCCGGAUUUAUUGGGUUUAAAGGGAGCGCAGACGGGAUGUUAAGUCAGCUGUGAAAGUUUGCGACUCAACCGUAAAAUUGCAGUUGAUACUGGAUAUCUUGAGUGCAGUUGAGGCAGGCGGAAUUCGUGGUGUAGCGGUGAAAUGCUUAGAUAUCACGA